rnacentral:lncRNA from 1 species
AGGGGACAUGUUUGUGAACAUGUGUCUUCUCUUGCAUUCAGUCAGCAGGUGCUAAGACUGGGUUCAAAUGUCAGUGAAGUCCAUGGCUGAGAGAAGGAUUUGUCAACUUGGAACAGAGUCCAGAUGGAAAAGAGAGAUCCAGUUUGAGGGAAGGGCAGGAGGCCCAAAGCCGACAGCAAGAGCAGCCUGUAAGGAGAGCCACCAGCCCCUCAAACCUGCGAGAUCCAAACCUGGAACCAUUCGCCAACGCAGAGUCAGAGUGGCAUGUCCUGCCUCAUGCCUGUAACCCGAGAACUCCAGAGGCUGAGGCUGCAGGAGCUCAGGUUCCAGGUUAGCCUAGGCUACUGAGAGCAAGGAUGUCUCAACCCCAGUAAAAACUGAACCAAACUAACAAGGAAGUCAUAAGAAGGGUGUUUCUUAGAUGAGGACUUAAGUAGCUCAGACUGGACUCGACCUCACACGUGGCAAAGACUGACCUUGAACUCGUUCUUCUUCCGCUCCCACCUCCCUAGUGCUGAGAUUAAGAUGAGCGCCAUGACACUCAGCCCUAGAGACUGUC